rnacentral:rRNA from 1 species
GGCUCAGAUUGAACGCUGGCGGCAUGCCUAACACAUGCAAGUCGAACGGCAGCACAGCAGUAGCAAUACUGUGGGUGGCGAGUGGCGGACGGGUGAGUAAUGCAUCGGGACCUGCCCAGACGUGGGGGAUAACGUAGGGAAACUUACGCUAAUACCGCAUACGUCCUACGGGAGAAAGCGGGGGAUCGAAAGACCUCGCGCGGUUGGAUGGACCGAUGUUCGAUUAGCUAGUUGGUGAGGUAAUGGCUCACCAAGGCGACGAUCGAUAGCUGGUCUGAGAGGAUGAUCAGCCACACUGGGACUGAGACACGGCCCAGACUCCUACGGGAGGCAGCAGUGGGGAAUAUUGGACAAUGGGCGCAAGCCUGAUCCAGCAAUGCCGCGUGUGUGAAGAAGGCCUUCGGGUUGUAAAGCACUUUUAUCAGGAGCGAAAUACCACGGGUUAAUACCCUAUGGGGCUGACGGUACCUGAGGAAUAAGCACCGGCUAACUUCGUGCCAGCAGCCGCGGUAAUACGAAGGGUGCAAGCGUUAAUCGGAAUUACUGGGCGUAAAGGGUGCGUAGGCGGUUCGUUAAGUCUGUUGUGAAAUCCCCGGGCUCAACCUGGGAAUGGCAAUGGAUACUGGCGAGCUAGAGUGUGAUAGAGGAUGGUGGAAUUCCCGGUGUAGCGGUGAAAUGCGUAGAGAUCGGGAGGAACAUCAGUGGCGAAGGCGGCCAUCUGGAUCAACACUGACGCUGAAGCACCAAA